ensembl:lncRNA
AAGCACUCCUGACUGGAAGCUGAUAUGCUAGAGCUACACUACACCUUCGUUGAAGCUACAUUACAGGAAAUCCUCAACAUGGAGACAGGAUCAAUCAGAAUUUAAUGGAUCACAGUUUAUCAGCUGCAGAGUAUGAAGACUUCCUUUGAGCUCCAUGCAAAAAAUCAUGGUGUGUAUUGGACGUGUCAUCCCAGAGUCCAACAUAAAACACCACAUUGCUCUGGAUCUCACCUGGCGGCAACUCAGGAUCGUACAAAAAAGACACAUCCUGUCCAUUGCAUCACUCAGUCCCAACAAAAUUGGAACAAUGUCCGAGCUUGAAGGAGUCAAUGGGCAUGAUAAAAUUAAGACCCGCUAGUGGAAGGAUCAUGGACAAGUUUGGAAGUGAACAGAAAAUGAACAAUAACUAAUAUUUGGAAUUGCAGGUUUUUUGAAAUGACAUGAAAACGCUGGAGGAUUUGAUCCGACCAGCAAGCACUGCAAGGUUCUGUACUGUCAAAAUGUACGAACUCUCUGAGAGGAAAACCUCCUACAGUUGAAAUACUAUGAAUUCUUCAAGUUCAAUGACAACUCAUUUCAAGCCUGAGUAAAAGUCAACAGCCAUGCUAGCAGUUCUGUGAUGCUGCUACACCCCUUAUCUGAUGUUUCCUCAAUCUUCAUGUGAUCCAGAAAGAACUGAAGAGGAUCUAUGAGGAGUCUAAACCUAGGAUGCAUGAAGACAACAUUCAUUUAAACUCCACUUUAUUAUAAAUCUGACUGAUUUGAAGCCGCAUCACAACACGUCCACUAAAUUGACGAAAAACAGAACCAACUUUAAAUAUUAAACAUCAAGAUUUAGACUGC